rnacentral:rRNA from 1 species
CAGUAGCCGCGGGAAUACGUAGGUGGCAAGCGUUGUCCGGAUUUAUUGGGCGUAAAGCGAGCGCAGGCGGUUUCUUAAGUCUGAUGUGAAAGCCCCCGGCUCAACCGGGGAGGGUCAUUGGAAACUGGGAAACUUGAGUGCAGAAGAGGAGAGUGGAAUUCCAUGUGUAGCGGUGAAAUGCGUAGAUAUAUGGAGGAACACCAGUGGCGAAGGCGGCUCUCUGGUCUGUAACUGACGCUGAGGCUCGAAAGCGUGGGGAGCAAACAGGAUUAGAUACCUCUGUAGUCCCUGUCUCUUAUAC